rnacentral:miRNA from 1 species
GUUUCGGAAAGGAUUGGGAAACUUGACUAAUGCACGGUAACAGGUUAUCCUUUCCUUUGCAGG